GACGAACGAGCGAACGUUGUUCGGAAUCACUGGGCUUAAAGGGCGCGUAGGCGGGCUGCCGUAAGUUUGGGGUGAAUCCUCCGGCUCAACCGGGGAAGUGCCUUGAAUACUGGCGGUCGUGGAGGGAGGUAGGGGCGUGCGGGAACUGUAGGUGGAGCGGUGAAAUGACGUUGAGUAUCUACAGGAACGUCCGGUGGCGAAGGCGGCGACGCUGGC
rnacentral:rRNA from 1 species